UACGUAGGGUGCGAGCGUUGUCCGGAAUUAUUGGGCGUAAAGAGCUCGUAGGCGGUCUGUCACGUCGGUCGUGAAAACUUGGGGCUUAACCCUGAGCUUGCGGUCGAUACGGGCAUGACUGGAGUUCGGCAGGGGAGACUGGAAUUCCUGGUGUAGCGGUGAAAUGCGCAGAUAUCAGGAGGAACACCGAUGGCGAAGGCAGGUCUCUGGGCAUUAACUGACGCUGAGGAGCGAAAGCAUGGGGAGCGAACAGG
rnacentral:rRNA from 1 species